rnacentral:rRNA from 1 species
UGAACCAGCCAUGCCGCGUGCAGGAAGACGGCCCUACGGGUUGUAAACUGCUUUUAUACGGGAAUAAACCUACUUACGUGUAAGUAGCUGAAUGUACUGUAAGAAUAAGGAUCGGCUAACUCCGUGCCAGCAGCCGCGGUAAUACGGAGGAUCCAAGCGUUAUCCGGAUUUAUUGGGUUUAAAGGGUGCGUAGGCGGCCUAGUAAGUCAGGGGUGAAAGACGGUAGCUUAACUAUCGCAGUGCCUUUGAUACUGAUGGGCUUGAAUGUACUUGAGGUAGGCGGAAUGUGACAAGUAGCGGUGAAAUGCAUAGAUAUGUCACAGAACACCAAUUGCGAAGGCAGCUUACUAAAGUAUGAUUGACGCUGAGGCACGAAAGCGUGGGGAUCAAACAGGAUUAGAUACCCUGGUAGUCCACGCCCUAAACGAUGAACACUCGAUGUUGGCGAUAUACGGUCAGCGUCUAAGCGAAAGCGUUAAGUGUUCCACCUGGGGAGUACGCCCGCAAGGGUGAAACUCAAAGGAAUUGACG